GCGUCUGUAGCUCAGUGGUGGAUAGAGCGUGUUUCUAAGCAGAAGGUUGUGGGUUCAACCCCUACCUAGCGCG
rfam:Spinacia oleracea cultivar SynViroflay scaffold30494.con0002.1, whole genome shotgun sequence.